UACGGAGGGGGCUAGCGUUGUUCGGAAUUACUGGGCGUAAAGCGCACGUAGGCGGCUCUGCAAGUCAGUGGUGAAAGCCCGGGGCUCAACCCCGGAAUUGCCUUUGAGACUGCAUCGCUUGAACAUCGGAGAGGUAAGUGGAAUUCCGAGUGUAGAGGUGAAAUUCGUAGAUAUUCGGAAGAACACCAGUGGCGAAGGCGGCUUACUGGCCGAUUGUUGACGCUGAGGUGCGAAAGCGUGGGGAGCAAACAGG
rnacentral:rRNA from 1 species